GGUUAAGCGACUAAGCGUACACGGUGGAUGCCCUGGCAGUCAGAGGCGAUGAAGGACGUGCUAAUCUGCGAAAAGCGUCGGUAAGGUGAUAUGAACCGUUACAGCCGGCGAUGUCCGAAUGGGGAAACCCAGUGCAAUUCGUUGCACUAUCGUUUGAUGAAUACAUAGUCAAACGAGGCGAACCGGGGGAACUGAAACAUCUAAGUACCCCGAGGAAAAGAAAUCAACCGAGAUUCCCCCAGUAGCGGCGAGCGAACGGGGAGCAGCCCGGAGUCUGAAUCAGCUUGUGUGUUAGUGGAAGCGUCUGGAAAGUCGCAGGGUACAGGGUGAUACUCCCGUACACUAAAACACACAGGUUGUGAACUCGAAGAGUAGGGCGGGACACGUGGUAUCCUGUCUGAAUAUGGGGGGACCAUCCUCCAAGGCUAAAUACUCCUGACUGACCGAUAGUGAACCAGUACCGUGAGGGAAAGGCGAAAAGAACCCCGGCGAGGGGAGUGAAAAAGAACCUGAAACCGUGUACGUACAAGCAGUAGGAGCCCACUAGUUGGGUGACUGCGUACCUUUUGUAUAAUGGGUCAGCGACUUAUAUUCUGUAGCAAGGUUAACCGUAUAGGGGAGCCGCAGGGAAACCGAGUCUUAACUGGGCGUUAAGUUGCAGGGUAUAGACCCGAAACCCGGUGAUCUAGCCAUGGGCAGGUUGAAGGUUGGGUAACACUAACUGGAGGACCGAACCGACUAAUGUUGAAAAAUUAGCGGAUGACUUGUGGCUGGGGGUGAAAGGCCAAUCAAACCGGGAGAUAGCUGGUUCUCCCCGAAAGCUAUUUAGGUAGCGCCUCGUGAACUCAUCUUCGGGGGUAGAGCACUGUUUCGGCUAGGGGGUCAUCCCGACUUACCAACCCGAUGCAAACUACGAAUACCGAAGAAUGUUAUCACGGGAGACACACGGCGGGUGCUAACGUCCGUCGUGAAGAGGGAAACAACCCAGACCGCCAGCUAAGGUCCCAAAGUCAUGGUUAAGUGGGAAACGAUGUGGGAAGGCCCAGACAGCCAGGAUGUUGGCUUAGAAGCAGCCAUCAUUUAAAGAAAGCGUAAUAGCUCACUGGUCGAGUCGGCCUGCGCGGAAGAUGUAACGGGGCUAAACCAUGCACCGAAGCUGCGGCAGCGACACUAUGUGUUGUUGGGUAGGGGAGCGUUCUGUAAGCCGUUGAAGGUGGCCUGUGAGGGUUGCUGGAGGUAUCAGAAGUGCGAAUGCUGACAUAAGUAACGAUAAUGCGGGUGAAAAACCCGCACGCCGGAAGACCAAGGGUUCCUGUCCAACGUUAAUCGGGGCAGGGUGAGUCGACCCCUAAGGCGAGGCCGAAAGGCGUAGUCGAUGGGAAACAGGUUAAUAUUCCUGUACUCGGUGUUACUGCGAAGGGGGGACGGAGAAGGCUAUGUUGGCCGGGCGACGGUUGUCCCGGUUUAAGCAUGUAGGCGGAUGUUCCAGGUAAAUCCGGAACGUUAUCAACGCUGAGGUGUGAUGACGAGGCACUACGGUGCUGAAGUGACAAAUGCCCUGCUUCCAGGAAAAGCCUCUAAGCAUCAGGUAACAUCAAAUCGUACCCCAAACCGACACAGGUGGUCAGGUAGAGAAUACCAAGGCGCUUGAGAGAACUCGGGUGAAGGAACUAGGCAAAAUGGUGCCGUAACUUCGGGAGAAGGCACGCUGAUGGUAAGUGAAGUGACUUGCUCAUGGAGCUGAAAUCAGUCGAAGAUACCAGCUGGCUGCAACUGUUUAUUAAAAACACAGCACUGUGCAAACACGAAAGUGGACGUAUACGGUGUGACGCCUGCCCGGUGCCGGAAGGUUAAUUGAUGGGGUUAUCCGUAAGGAGAAGCUCUUGAUCGAAGCCCCGGUAAACGGCGGCCGUAACUAUAACGGUCCUAAGGUAGCGAAAUUCCUUGUCGGGUAAGUUCCGACCUGCACGAAUGGCGUAAUGAUGGCCAGGCUGUCUCCACCCGAGACUCAGUGAAAUUGAACUCGCUGUGAAGAUGCAGUGUACCCGCGGCAAGACGGAAAGACCCCGUGAACCUUUACUAUAGCUUGACACUGAACACUGGUCCUUGAUGUGUAGGAUAGGUGGGAGGCUUUGAAGUGUGGACGCCAGUCUGCAUGGAGCCAUCCUUGAAAUACCACCCUUUAAUGGCUGGUGUUCUAACGUGGGCCCCUAAUCGGGGUUGCGGACAGUGUCUGGUGGGUAGUUUGACUGGGGCGGUCUCCUCCUAAAGAGUAACGGAGGAGCACGAAGGUCAGCUAAUCCUGGUCGGACAUCAGGAGGUUAGUGCAAUGGCAUAAGCUGGCUUGACUGCGAGCGUGACGGCGCGAGCAGGUGCGAAAGCAGGUCAUAGUGAUCCGGUGGUUCUGAAUGGAAGGGCCAUCGCUCAACGGAUAAAAGGUACUCCGGGGAUAACAGGCUGAUACCGCCCAAGAGUUCAUAUCGACGGCGGUGUUUGGCACCUCGAUGUCGGCUCAUCACAUCCUGGGGCUGAAGUAGGUCCCAAGGGUAUGGCUGUUCGCCAUUUAAAGUGGUACGCGAGCUGGGUUUAGAACGUCGUGAGACAGUUCGGUCCCUAUCUGCCGUGGGCGCUGGAGAAUUGAGGGGGGCUGCUCCUAGUACGAGAGGACCGGAGUGGACGCAUCACUGGUGUUCGGGUUGUCAUGCCAAUGGCAUUGCCCGGUAGCUAAAUGCGGAAGAGAUAAGUGCUGAAAGCAUCUAAGCACGAAACUUGCCCCGAGAUGAGUUCUCCCUGACCCUUUAAGGGUCCUGAAGGAACGUUGAAGACGACGACGUUGAUAGGCCGGGUGUGUAAGCGCAGCGAUGCGUUGAGCUAACCGGUACUAAUGAACCGUGAGGCUUAACCUU
rnacentral:rRNA from 1 species